UACGUAGGGUGUGAGCGUUAAUCGGAAUUACUGGGCGUAAAGCGUGCGCAGGCGGUUUCGUAAGCCAGACGUGAAAUCCCCGAGCUUAACUUGGGAACUCCGCUUGGUACUGCGAGGCUAGAGUACGGCAGAGGGAGGUGGAAUUCCACGUGUAGCAGUGAAAUGCGUAGAUAUGUGGAGGAACACCGAUGGCGAAGGCAGCCUCCUGGGCUAGUACUGACGCUCAUGCACGAAAGCGUGGGGAGCAAACAGG
rnacentral:rRNA from 1 species